rnacentral:rRNA from 1 species
GAUGAACGCUAGCUACAGGCUUAACACAUGCAAGUCGAGGGACCGGCGCACGGGUGAGUAACACGUAUACAACCUGCCCUUUACUCGGGGCUAGCAGUUCGAAAGAAAGAUUAAUACACGAUGUAAAGGAUGGGGAUGCGUUCCAUUAUGUUGUUGGUGAGGUAACGGCUCACCAAACCAUCGAUGGAUAGGGGUUCUGAGAGGAAGGCCCCCCACAAUGGAACUGAGACACGGUCCAAACUCGUACGGGAGGCAGCAGUGAGGAAUAUUGGUCAAUGGGCGUUAGCCUGAACCAGCCAAGUAUCGUGAAGGAUGAAGGCUUAUGGGUCGUAAACUUCUUUUAUAUAAGAAUAUGUAUUAUAUGAAUAAGGAUCGGCUAACUCCGUGCCAGCAGCCGCGGUAAUUC